rnacentral:rRNA from 1 species
UUGGGAAUUUUGGGCAAUGGGCGCAAGCCUGACCCAGCGACGCCGCGUGGGGGAUGAAGGCCUUCGGGUCGUAAACCCCUGUCAGGAGGGAAGAAGCCCCGCAAGGGGUGACGGUACCUCCAGAGGAAGCCCCGGCUAACUACGUGCCAGCAGCCGCGGUAAGACGUAGGGGGCGAGCGUUGUCCGGAUUUACUGGGCGUAAAGCGCGUGUAGGCGGCCUGCUAAGUGGCGUGUGAAAGCUCACCGCUCAACGGUGAGAGGCCGCGCCAUACUGACGGGCUUGAGGGUGGCAGAGGGUGAUGGAAUUCCCGGUGUAGCGGUGAAAUGCGUAGAUAUCGGGAGGAACGCCAGUGGCGAAGGCGGUCACCUGGGCCAUCCCUGACGCUGAGACGCGAAAGCUGGGGGAGCGAACGGGAUUAGAUACCCCGGUAGUCCCAGCCGUAAACGAUGCUCACUAGGUGUUGGGGGGUUACUCCCUCAGUGCCGCAGCUAACGCAUUAAGUGAGCCGCCU